rnacentral:rRNA from 1 species
AUCUAUGGCCAUGCCACCCUAAACACACCCAAUCCCAUCUGAUCUCAGAAGCUAAGCAGGGUCGGGCCUGGUUAGUACUUGGAUGGGAGACCACCUAGGAAGACCGGGUGCUGUAGGCA